CCUACGGGAGGCAGCAGUGGGGGAUAUUGCACAAUGGGGGGAACCCUGAUGCAGCGACGCCGCGUGGGUGAAGAAGCGCCUCGGCGCGUAAAGCCCUGUCAGCAGGGAAGAAAAUGACGGUACCUGAAGAAGAAGCCCCGGCUAACUACGUGCCAGCAGCCGCGGUAAUACGUAGGGGGCAAGCGAUAGCCUGAUUUACUGGGGGGAAAGGGGGCGCAGACGGCGAUGCAAGCCAGGAGUGAAAGGCCGGGGCCCAACCCCGGGACUGCUCUUGGAACUGCGUGGCUGGAGUGCAGGAGGGGCAGGCGGAAUUCCUGGGGUAGCGGUGAAAUGCGUAGAUAUCAGGAGGAACACCGGUGGCGAAGGCGGCCUGCUGGACUGCAACUGACGUUGAGGCCCGAAAGCGUGGGGAGCAAACAGGAUUAGAUACCCUGGUAGUC
rnacentral:rRNA from 1 species